rnacentral:ncRNA from 21 species
AAUUUUAUAAUGUGAUUCGGUUUUGCGAUGCAAAUGAAAAGGGAAAUUGGUUAAAUGCCAAUGCUGUACCCGCAACUGUAAGCUCAGUCCAAAUAGUGACGGUUUCCAUAAUUUCUUUACCACUGAUAUAAUCGGGAAGGUUUUUGGAAAUACGCGAGCCAGGAUACCUGCCAUUCACAGUGAUUGAAUA